UACGUAGGGGGCUAGCGUUGUCCGGAUUUAUUGGGCGUAAAGAGCGUGUAGGCGGCCAGGUAGGUCUGCUGUGAAAACUCGAGGCUCAACCUCGAGACGUCGGCGGAAACCAUCUAGCUAGAGUCCGGAAGAGGAGAGUGGAAUUCCUGGUGUAGCGGUGAAAUGCGCAGAUAUCAGGAGGAACACCGGUGGCGAAGGCGGUUCUCUGGGCCUGUACUGACGCUGAGGAACGAAAGCGUGGGGAGCGAACAGG
rnacentral:rRNA from 1 species